UUUGGGGAUCCCCCCCCCCAAAACCCCCUUUGAACCCCCCGUUAUGGGACACCCCCCCCCGAGGCCCCGCCCCCCCGUGGGCACCCCAAUACGUCAUCCCAGGAAGCCCCACCCCCUGCGCGGGAGGGGUCGGGAACCGGGGGGGGGGCUGGGGGGGGCGGCGUAUGGGCCCCGUUUCUCCCAGUUUGGCCCAUUCGGGGGCCGGUUUAGCCCAGUUUAGUCCCCGUUUCUCCCAGUUUGGCCCAGUUCGGGGCUGGUUUAGCUCAGUUUAGUCCCCAUUUCCUCCCAGUUUCUCCAGUUCGGGGCUGGUUUAGCCCAGUUUAGUCCCCGUUUCUCCAGUUUGGCCCAGUACGGGGCCGGUUUAGCCCAGUUUAGUCCCGCUUUCUCCCAGUUUCUCCCAGUUCGGGGCCAGUUUAGCCCAGUUUAGUCCCCGUUUCUCCCAGUUUGGCCCAGUACGGGGCUGAUUUAGCCCAGUUUAGUCCCCGUUUCUCCCAGUUUGGCCCAGUUCGGGGCUGAUUUAGCCCAGUUUAGUCCCCCGUUUCUCCCAGUUUGGCCCAGUACGGGGCCGGUUUAGCCCAGUUUAGUCCCCGUUUCUCCCAGUUUCUCCCAGUUCGGGCCAGUUUAAGCCCAGUUUAGUCCCCGUUUCUCCCAGUUUGGCCCA